rnacentral:lncRNA from 1 species
ACACCGUAUACCCACUGUUAUGGACUGCAAUAUGGUACUUGCAAUGAGUGACGGUAUGUUUUCUUCAUGAACUUGCUAUAUAUAUAGCUGUAUCCAAAGUUAUUGGCUAUGAAUCAACACGACAAGAUCUGCAAAACCUAGGGAUUAUUGUAGUGAUCUUUGCAUGCCUGCUUUAAAAAUAAAUCAGAAUUAAACUAUUUAGAUUGUGAAACUCUGUCUCAAGAUAGUAUUUCAGCAUUUACAUGUGAAGUCCAUGCUAAUGGGUUGAACUAACUUCCAGGGAAACUAGUGGAGUAUGACAAACCUACAAAGCUCAUGGAAACGGAAGGAUCUCUCUUCCGUGACCUCGUCAAAGAGUACUGGUCAUACACAUCGAAUGGAAAUAUUUAGAACUCACCUCGUCAAAGAGUACUGGUCAUACUCAUCAAUUGGAAAUACAUGUUCAGUCUCUUAAAAGGAGAUACAAAAAUCUUGGCUCGCACAACUGAAGAAGUCUU